rnacentral:sRNA from 1 species
GCUGGGCGGGGUGGUGCACACCUCUAGUCCCAACUACUCAGGAGGCUGAGGCAGGAGAAUUGCUUGAACCCGGGAGGCAGAGGUUGCAGUGAGCCGAGAUUAACGCCACUGCACUCCAGCCUGGUGAGACUCUGUCUCAAAAAAAAAAAAAAAAAAAAAAAAAAAAAAAAGGCUGGAUCCACAGUGGGUGCACUCUGUCACCCAGGCUGGAGUGCAGUGGCAUGAUCUUGGCUCACUGCAACCUCCACCUGCCGUGUUCAAGUGAUUCUUCUGCCUCA